CAAUAGCGUAUAUUAAAGUUGUUGCGGUUAAAAAGCUCGUAGUUGGAUUUCUGCUGAGAACGACCGGUCCGCCCUUUGGGUGUGUAUCUGGCUCUUUCUUGGCAUCUUCUUGGUGAACGUUGCUGCACUUGACUGUGUGGAGCGCUACCCAGGACUUUUACUUUGAGGAAAUUAGAGUGUUUCAAGCAGGCAUACGCCUUAAAUACAUUAGCAUGGAAUAAUAAGAUAGGACCUCGGUUCUAUUUUGUUGGUUUCUAGAGCUGAGGUAAUGAUUAAUAGGGAUAGUUGGGGGCAUUCGUAUUUAACUGUCAGAGGUGAAAUUCUUGGAUUUGUUAAAGACGGACUACUGCGAANGNAUUUGCNAAGGAUGUUUNCAUUG
rnacentral:rRNA from 1 species